rnacentral:lncRNA from 1 species
CUGUAAUUGCUGUGUUUACAACCUCCCACUCCCAUCCUCCCCAACUGUGCCCGUUUACCUGGGCUGCAUGGUGCCCGGUCUUUGUCAGGGAGAAACUCAGACCGGGGAGAAGCCGGGCUGGGUGCCCCCCUCUGCCCCACCCUCCGGCCUUGCCUUUCGGAGUGUAGGGGCAGCUUGCUGAGUGCUCACGACAUGGGCACCCGUGUGUAGUCACUGUAGCUGCUGGCAGGCCUGGCACCUGCAGCAGGACCCCAGCACACAACAGAUGUGCCUGGCACUGUGGGGUGGGGCUGGAGGCAUCCCGUGGGCUGCAGGGACCUGGCAGGAGCAUUGGUCGCCUGGUGAAGCUUGGGAAGAGGCCUCGGGUCAGCCGCAGGGUUUGGUGGCGACGGGGCCCAGGGCGCCGGCCUCAUGGGACACAGUGCUUGCUGGGCUGUGCCCCUGGCCGUGUGCUGAAAGCUCACUGCCGAAAGCGCAAGAGCCCAUUGGCCUUUGCUGGACCCUCCUCAGAGCUCCAGGAGCUGCGCCUCGCGGGGCAGCCUGUCUCCCGUUUGUCCUCAGCAAACCUCUGAGGCCUACAGGACGGCCCCACCUCUGCACUGGGCUGAGGUGACCACGGUCACACCUGCCUUUGGGGUUCAGCCAGCCCCUGGCUGGGGUCUGGGCGUAUUGCAGGUUGCCCCGGUGACCCCGAUCCUCUGUCUGCGGGGCCUUGCCCAGCUGCCUGCUGUGGCGCUGAAGUGGGACCCCACCUUCCCUUUGGGCCAAGGCAGGUUCCCAUUUGGGCCACCAGGCUGCUGGGGUGGACAGUGGGACACAGCCUGUCCCUCAGGGAUGGCACAUUCUCGUGCUGACCUGCAGGUGGCGCCCUUGUCCAGCGGGAGGCUGGCCUGGACCAUGGGGUGCUGCUUCGUCUUCGCUGCCCAGCCACUCUGAGGCUCAAAGGGAGAAGGGUAGGCCUGGGCCCUGUCUCGGAGAGACGCCGAAGUAGGGGUUCUCAGGAUCAGAAAGUUUGCCACCCCGCCCCAUUGAGGAACAUGGGGUGCUCCUGGGGUUGGCACUGAGGCACCCUCUUCCUGGGGGGAAGGAAGGGGCCCCUCCUUCAACCUGUGACACCCAGUGCCUCCCUGGCCCAGGUGCCCAAAAGUCCCAAAUCAUGGCUUCCUGGGGUCCCCAGAACCCUGACCAGCACCUCAGAGGAGGCCCGGCAAUCCCGGGCCAUCGCACCCCUCUACCACGCAGCACCUCUGCUCCCUCAUCUUGUCAACAAGCCUGGGGGAGCUCUCCCUGGGAUCAGACUCAUCACUCCCUGGACGGCUCAGCUCUCCGGAAGAGUGUAGGUUGCGUUGGAGGGGCUGUGACCCCUCCGAGCACCCUGACCGAAGGCCCAGCGCACAAAGAGCAGAGGGGAACAAGGUCUUGACUGAGCGGUGGACGGCCCUGGACACUUGGAACCUGUGCCUCCCAGGGGUCAGCAAGAGGACGGAGGCUGGACCAAGGACACAACCCCUGCCGGCCGGGCGGAAACCAUCCUAUCUGGAAUCCAGGCAUAAGUCAAGGAUCAGCACUGACGGGCCCAGGGCUGGCUCGGGGGUCCUCCCUGAACAGCCUCAACCCAGCUCAGCUGGCAGCCACCUACCACUGAGGUCAGAGGAGGGAGGGUUCAGCUGUGGCUCAGGGACAAGCCCUUUCCUGGCCUCUGAGUCCACAAGCCUGGGGUCCCUGCAGGACACUGCUCAGCCACCACAGCCCCUUCCAAGCUCAGGGGGCCUCUGGUCCCCACCCUCCCUCCACCCGACACUGAUAGCCCUUCCCAGACCAGUCAGCACCUGGUUUGCUCACACGCCGCCACAGCUGCGAGAAGCCUCUCGUGGCCUUCGUCCUGGUAAGCCCUUAACUGCCAAAUAAAUAUUUGUCUAGGGUGUGGCUUGGUGCUGAG